rnacentral:rRNA from 1 species
GACGAACGCUGGCGGCAUGCUUAACACAUGCAAGUCGAACGGAACGGCCCUGCUUUUGUGGGGUGCUCGAGUGGCGAACGGGUGAGUAACACGUGAGUAACCUGCCCUUGACUUUGGGAUAACUUCAGGAAACUGGGUCUAAUACCGGCUAGGAGCUACUGCUGCUUGGUGGGGGCUAGAAAGUUUCGGCGGUUGGGGAUGGACUCGCGUCUUAUCAGCUUGUUGGUGGGGUAGUGGCUUACCAAGGCUUUGACGGGUAGCCGGCCUGAGAGGGCGACCGGCCACAUUGGGACGGAAAUACGACACAGACUCGUACGGGAGGCAGCAGAGAGGUGGAGUGCACUAGAGGCGGAAGCCUAGUGCGGCAACGCCGCGCGGGGGAAGAGAGGCAGCGGGUAGGGAUCCACUGUCGCCUGAGACGAGACGUUAGUGACGGUAAUGGGAGAAUAAGCACCGGCUAACUACGUG